AUUGAACGCUGGCGGCAUGCCUUACACAUGCAAGUCGAACGGCAGCACGGGUGCUUGCACCUGGUGGCGAGUGGCGAACGGGUGAGUAAUACAUCGGAACAUGUCCUGUAGUGGGGGAUAGCCCGGCGAAAGCCGGAUUAAUACCGCAUACGAUCUACGGAUGAAAGCGGGGGACCUUCGGGCCUCGCGCUAUAGGGUUGGCCGAUGGCUGAUUAGCUAGUUGGUGGGGUAAAGGCCUACCAAGGCGACGAUCAGUAGCUGGUCUGAGAGGACGACCAGCCACACUGGGACUGAGACACGGCCCAGACUCCUACGGGAGGCAGCAGUGGGGAAUUUUGGACAAUGGGCGAAAGCCUGCUCCAGCAAUGCCGCGUGUGUGAAGAAGGCCUUCGGGUUGUAAAGCACUUUUUUCCGGAAAGAAAUCCUUGGCCCUAAUACGGUCGGGGGAUGACGGUACCGGAAUAAUAAGCACCGGCUAACUACGUG
rnacentral:rRNA from 1 species